rnacentral:misc_RNA from 1 species
UGGAGGGCGUCAGUCGNCAGGCUCCGUGCUCGUGCACCGAACUGCUCGAAGGCCGUCCGCUUCAGUCUUUCCCCAAGCGCANCUGUUGCCUUGAGGGUUCGUUCGGUAUCCUGUGUUGCUUACCAACAAAACGGAAUUUCUGGUUUCGGUUUUCCCCGUCCGCCUUGUGCCCUUCUGGGUGCGGGGUGGACGCGAGGCGAGCUCCGUGUUCCCGGCGUGCCUCGCGCUCAGACGCUUGGCYGCCUCGGCCCACGAAGUCUCUGCCCGUUCUCUCGGAUGCGGAAUGCUGUGCAUGGACGUGAGGUCUUGGCCUCAAUCGUCCAAGCUACACGCAUCGUCUCUUGACGCGAACGACCGCCGCACCCGUCUUGGCCGACCGACCGAGGCCCCGAACGGGGCCCCGAGAGGGACGGGUCAUGCGGGCGCCGGCGUCGGRAAGGAAUGCUAC